CGCCACUUGUUGUGGUCGAAGCCGGAUUUCUCGCAGGCCGGCCCAUCUGACAGCUUGAGGGGAGUUGGCCAUCGGUACAGCCCAACCUCCACGACCCAGCAGACCCCGCCCUUCCCACCGCCUCACUCCCCGCCUCUACUAGCCUCGCCCUCCGAGCCACGCCCCCUCGGACACGCGCGGUGCCUCCAGGCCGCGCUCGUUGAGGCGGUCCUCGGUGGGUUUGGGGCUUAGGGACUCGCGCGGACCUGGCGGUUGGUGACGCUUCUUGGAACCCGUGCGGAAGCUCUUAAGCCGGUAUUUGAAACGUAAACGCACCGGCUACGAUGGAAAUACUGACCUGGAAACCUGGGACUUGCCUUUUCAAAAGCCACCUUUCUCGCCGUCACCUCUGCCACUCGGGGCUGCCAUAAUCGUCCCCAUGGACCCUCGGUGGUGUGGCUCCCCGCAGAGUGCCCCUGGACCCCUGGGCUGGCUGAACAGCUUCUUAGAGGAACUGACUGCCCAAUGCGGUGUUUUGGAAAAAGAGAAACAUGACAGUGGACAGGCCCAAUUCUGCAUAGUACAGAUGGGAAAGUCAGGCGGGCAGUUACUCCAUCACUACCCACGUCUCAAACUCACUUAAGCAAAGCUCCAAUUCUGUGCAAGAAGGAUGCAAAAAGAGCAAAAUAUCCAUGGUACAACUUUCUGGAGCAUCAAUCCUACUGCCAGAUUUGGAAGAAAUGAAGUUAAGUAAUUUCCAAGCAGUAUCUCCCCUCCCUGACAAACAUGGAGGAAGAGACAGAAGAGCAGGAGGGAAGAAGUGCCCCAGGACAACAGUCCAGUCUCUGAAGAUUCAUCCAGCUUGGGACAAAGGGCCAGCCUCUCUACUUAUCUCUCCGUUGGCUCCCAACCAGCCUUUAAGCUCACCAGCAUUUUGGAUUCAAUGCGUUUGAAUGCUGUGGAAGUGCAGGUACUCCCUUGAUUUGAAUCCCAUGCAGAGCACCUUGGCAGUCCGCACCUGCUAUCCUCCCCUGCACGCAGGCCGCGGCUCCCCUGCGCACGCGCCGUAAGCUCCUUGCACCACUGCCGUACCCGCAGCUGUCGCCUCAGCCCUGGCUCAGCUCCCACACCUGUCGCUGGGCUCUGUGGAACUCAGGAUCUUCUUGCUCCCUCUUUAAAAGCAGUCUUUGGUUUUCUCCCUGCCUCAGCUAUCCACCAUGUGAGCUUUCGCUGGCUUCACUGUGUUUGAAGGGCCACACCAGUUCUUUCUGGGCAGCCUGAAACACGGGUAUCCAUCUGAGUAGGAAGUUGAAGAAGCUCCGGACAGUCCCCUGUCAGCCCUGGCUGUUGCCAAAGGGAGAGGCUGGGGUCCCAUCACCGGGCCACCCAGGAUGGAGGGAGUUUCCGUUGUAGGAUAAACCCCGAGGGCAGAUGGUUCCAUGUGGGGCUCUACCACAUGGAUGGUAGAUGCUGUGGGUAGAGGGGAGGCCCCAGGGCCACGUUGGGGACUAUGCUGGGGAAUGGGGGGGUCCUUGUCUCCAGGGUUGGUGGGCGACUGGCAGACACUUUGGCUGGGCUGCUGGCCUUCCACUGACUCCCAGGCCGCCCCAGGCCACCGACUUUCUGAGUUACAGAAUACAGCAAAGGUGGGAAUGAUGGGCUCACCAAAACCGCAUUUCUUUGCGUUGGCAGAGACCCUGGGCUGAAGCGUGCAGGAUGGGGAAGGACAGCAGCUGUUGGUAGGAUCAGCUGAAGGCAGGGGCUUCACAGCAGUGGUCCACCCCUCCACCUUGGGGCUCUUGCAGCCUAGGAUCAGGUAGUUGGCCAUCACGUCGUCAUAACUCCAGCCCAUCGGCAGGUCCUGGAUCUGGUGCCACCCGUAGCCCAUGGAUAAUAUCACCCCAGUUCUGCCAGGGGUCCUUGUAGCCCAGGGGGUGGCUGGAUGUAGGGCUUUAGUUCCUCUUCAUGGACCAUGUUCAUCCAGGGGUCCUUCAUGGUUUCCUCUAAAGCGCUUCUCUCACUGGGAUUGAGGGUCAGGAAUUUCUCUAGUAGGUUUUCACACUCCACAGACAUAUAAAGGGGAAUGCAGUAUAUUCCGCUCAGUACCCACUCCCACAGCUCCCGAAGUCCUGUAAAGGCAGGCAUCUGCUGGUCACUGGACAGUCAUUGUAUAGAGGAUGGCCCCAGGCUCCACACGGCCACUGCGAGGCUGUUGUACUUUUGGCAUAAGGGGAACUACCACAGAAGGUGUUUAGCUUAUGGCCGACAGUGAACUCAUUGCUGAAGCCAAAGUCUACAACCUUGAUGUUCAGGUCAGCUUCCAAAAGUAGGUUCUCUGGCUUUAGGUCCCUGGGGACGAUACCCUCCUGGUGGUGGUACUACACAGUCAACACUAUCUGGCAGAAUCUGCCUCCGGGGCUGCUCCUUUCUCAUGCAGGCAUGGUCCACAUGGUCCAGUGGGUGAUCAAGUGCCUAUAGUGUACUCUGUGACCAGGUAGAGUGUUUCCGUGGUGUCAGUCACCUCGAGUGGUUUCAUGACUCGAGGGUCGUGAUUCAGGGCCUCCGGGCUCUGGACUUCAAGGAAUAGUCUGUGGAGGCUGGAGGAGCUCUGCUGGCUCUUGUUAAUGACCUUCAUGGACGCUUCUGUCGCACUUAGGUUGUGCCAGACCGACCUCACUUCGGCAAAGCCGCCCUGGCCAAAGGUCUUGAGGAGCCAGUGGUUGUCAAUGUGGAUCUCCUGGUCGCAGGCAUGGCUGUGAGGUCCCGCAGCUCAGCAACUUACAGCUAGCAAUACUAACUAGGAGUGCCCCCUAACAGUACUAACAAACUGCAUAAAGAUGAGAAAAAAAGAAACAGAAAGAGAACAGAGAGGAAAAAAGCUAACUGUGGUCCAAAGUCCCUCAGCUCACCAAACACCAGCUCACUGGCCUAAAAGAACUAAAAAAUGUAGGCCUGGCCAAGGGCUUAUACAGAGAGGUACUUAGGAUUCUCUCUUGAUGGCUCUUCUUGAAGUCGGUGCAAGAAAUGGACCUGUUAAGACCGGGGAUAAUUCACAAUGGUCUUCUCACUUGGGUCUCAGGAACCCUUUACUCUAAAUAAAGGGGGAGGGGAACACCCCCAAAGGCCUUUUUGUUUGUGUGGCUCAUAGUGAUUGAUAUUUACCUUACUAAAAAUUAAGGAUGCUUUGGUGGCCUUUUCAUGUCUAGUUUGGAAAUCUGUAAUAAUUUUUGGUGUUUAAAGAAAGCCAUGAUGUCUAUACUUCAAAUAAUUCAGUUCCUUUCUCUUAAAACUCUGGCUGAUCUGUGUCAACAUGAUACCACAGUUUAACUGGCUCCACAAUAGCCAUUGACGAAGACUGUCCUUGACUAAACUUUAGUCAUUCUCCUCUAGGCCUGGACCUUGUAGUCUGUCCUUGGCUAUCCUGCACCACCCAGUUGUAGCAAGAAUCUUGUCAAGUCGGUUUAGAGAGAACUCCCCACCCUCAACAUCUGAUAAUAUUCUUCAUCUCCCCCCUUUGGUAUCUGUGAGAAAAUAAAACAUAUAUAUUGGUGUCUGCCCCCGGUUCCUGGCACAGGCUCCUGAAACCCUUAAAUUUCCCAAGUGUUCAGAGCACUAGGAGCAUCUCUUGUUCUAAUAUUUCAUCUUCAACCCCAGCUCCUGACACAGGACUCCUAAAUCCCUUGGAAUUUCCUGGGUGGUAAGAAUGUCUUGUUCUAAUGAGGCAACUCUGGAGGGGCUCCUGGAUGACUCCUGGACAGAGACUGUCAUCGGAAAGGCCAAACCAUGAUUAGAGCUGGAAUAUUCAUGUCCAUACCACUGCCCCCCACCAAUCCUCAAGAGAGGGGAAAGGGGCUGGAAAUGGAGUUAAUGAUCUACAUGAGGAAGCCUCCAUAAAAAUCCCAAUAUUAACGGGGUUCAGAGACUCUCCACAUGGAUGAACGCAUCCACAUUGGGAGGGUAAUGCACCCCAACUCCAUAGGGACAGAAGCUCCUAUGUUCAGGACCCUCCCAGACCUCGCCCAGUGUAUCUCUUCAUCUAACAGGUCACGUAUCCUUUAUCACAUCCUUUAAUAAAAUGGUAAACGGAAGUGUUUCCUGAGCCCUGUGAGCCACUCUAGCAAAUGAAUUGAACCUAAGGAAGGGGUUGUUGGAACUUCCACUCUAGAGCUGAUCAGUCAGAAGCACAGGUAAUAACCUGGACUUGGAUUGGCAUCUGCAGUGGGGGAGGGGGGGCUGCUUUGUGGGUCUGAACCUUAACCUGUGGAACCUGAUGCUAUCUCUGGACAGAUAGUGUCAGAACUGUGUUGAAUUGUAGGACACCCCACACUUUUGGUGACCAGAAGUGAAGUGUUUUGUGUGAGUAGUAAGGGAGACUCACAGGAGAAAGACUCAGGGGUGGAACGACCGUGGCUUUUCCUUUGUACAGCAUCUGACCACCCUGGCCUGCCUUCAGCAAGAAUCCUGCCAGGUCUGUUUAACUAGAAUCUUUCUAUUCCUGAGGUUUCCUCUUAGUAAUUUUCCAUCCCCUAACCCUGACCCUCCUCUUUGGCUAUAAGUCCUCAUUUUGUGCUGUCCUAGGGAUGGGGCGCAGUUCUAUACUGAGGGCUUUUUCCCCUGUUGCAAUAGUUUCUGAAUAAA